rnacentral:lncRNA from 1 species
GGGUGGAUGAUUUUGCUUUUGGCAUGUGAUUAGAAGAGAACUGUCUCUUCUUUGGUGAGAGUUCAGCCUCGGCACUGAGUUGCUUUGGAGAGAGAGAUCCAGAUUAGAUCUAGAUCAUUCCCUACUAUUCUUCCAUCCUCCAGCAACCUUUGUUGAUCCAUUUUCAACCUCAAAAGAAUUCAAGGUGAUUGGAGAAGGAGAUCCAACCAGAUCGGCCAUCAGAAGUGAUCUUUACGAGCUAGCACUCUCGAAAAUAGU